rnacentral:rRNA from 1 species
GUGGGGAAUAUUCCGCAAUGGACGAAAGUCUGACGGAGCAACGCCGCGUGAGUGAUGAAGGUUUUCGGACUGUAAAGCUCUGUUGUUUAGGACGAAAGUGCCUGUUGCAAAUAGUUACAGGUAUUGACGGUACUGAACGAGGAAGCCACGGCUAACUACGUGCCAGCAGCCGCGGUACUACGUAGGUGGCAAGCGUGGUCCGGAAUUAUUGGGCGUAAAGAGCAUGUAGGCGGGAAUCUAAGUCUGUUGUGAAAAUGCGGGGCUCAACCCCGUAUUGCGAUGGAAACUGGGUUUCUUGAGUGCAGGAGAGGAAAGGGGAAUUCCCAGUGUAGCGGUGAAAUGCGUAGAUAUUGGGAGGAACACCAGUGGCGAAGGCGCCUUUCUGGACUGUGUCUGACGCUGAGAUGCGAAAGCCAGGGUAGCGAACGGGAUUAGAUACCCCGGUAGUCC